rnacentral:rRNA from 1 species
GAUGAACGCUGGCGGCGUGCCUAAUACAUGCAAGUCGAGCGAACAGACGAGGAGCUUGCUCCUUCGACGUUAGCGGCGGACGGGUGAGUAACACGUAGGUAACCUACCUAUAAGACUGGGAUAACUUCGGGAAACCGGAGCUAAUCCCGGAUAAUAUUUCGAACCGCGUGGUUCGAUAGUGAAAGAUGGCUUCGCUAUCACUUAUAGAUGGACCUGCGCCGUAUUAGCUAGUUGGUAAGGUAACAGCUUACCAAGGCAACGAUACGUAGCCGAACUCAGAGGGGGGUCGGCGACAUGGGAGCGUAGACACGGUCAAGACUCCUACGGGAGGCAGCAGUAGGGAAUCGGCCGCAAUGGGCGAAAGCCUGACGGAGCAAGGCCGCGUGAGUGAUGAAGGCCUUCGGAUCGUAAAACUCGGUUAUUAGGGAAGAACAAACGUGUAAGGAACUGUGCACGUCUUGACGGUACCUAAUCAGAAAGCCACGGCUAACUACGUG